CUAGCGACUUCAGAGUUUGAUCCUGGCUCAGGACGAACGCUGGCGGCGCGCCUAACACAUGCAAGUCGAACGGAGAAAAGACAGCUUGCUGGAUUUUCUUAGUGGCGGACGGGUGAGUAACACGUGAGCAACCUGCCCCUCAGAGAGGGAUAACGUUUGGAAACGAACGCUAAUACCUCAUAACACUUUUGGUCGGCAUCGACCUUAAGUCAAAGAUUUAUCGCUGAGGGAUGGGCUCGCGUCCGAUUAGGUAGUUGGUGAGAUAACAGCCCACCAAGCCGACGAUCGGUAGCCGGACUGAGAGGUUGAACGGCCACAUUGGGACUGAGACACGGCCCAG
rnacentral:rRNA from 1 species